CGUAUUUCUUCUCCUUAGUACGACAGGACCACGAUAAAAGUGCCCAUACCCACAUGUCCACACUCUAAUUAAAAAC
rnacentral:rRNA from 1 species